rnacentral:rRNA from 1 species
GAUGAACGCUGGCGGCGUGCCUAAUACAUGCAAGUCGAGCGAACAGAUGAGGAGCUUGCUCCUCUGACGUUAGCGGCGGACGGGUGAGUAACACGUGGAUAACCUACCUAUAAGACUGGGAUAACUUCGGGAAACCGGAGCUAAUACCGGAUAAUAUAUUGAACCGCAUGGUUCAAUAGUGAAAGACGGUUUUGCUGUCACUUAUAGAUGGAUCCGCGCCGCAUUAGCUAGUUGGUAAGGUAACGGCUUACCAAGGAAACGAUGCGUAGCCGACCUGAGAGGGUGAUCGGCCACACUGGAACUGAGACACGGUCCAGACUCCUACGGGAGGCAGCAGUAGGGAAUCUUCCGCAAUGGGCGAAAGCCUGACGGAGCAACGCCGCGUGAGUGAUGAAGGUCUUCGGAUCGUAAAACUCUGUUAUUAGGGAAGAACAAAUGUGUAAGUAACUAUGCACGUCUUGACGGUACCUAAUCAGAAAGCCACGGCUAACUACGUG